GAUCAAAAAUCCAUCACGAGGAUCAUUUAAAUUCAUCAUCAUUCUUCUCAAAAUUUUAGAAAUCUUAGGAGAGAGAAAUAAUCUAGAGAGAGGAUUCUAGAGAGAGAAAGUAGAGAUAAAAAGUCCAAUUCUAGAGAGAGAAAAUACUAGUUCAGGCUGAAGGGAGAGAGAAAAGAGAGAGAAACUCUCUUUCUCAUAUUUUAUUAUUUAUCUCAUUAUUUAUUAAUUAAUUUUAUUUUUCUCUUUCUUCUUUUCUUUCUUUCUCUCUUUUUUUUUUCUUUUCUUCACGGAAGAGAGAGGAGAGAAAAAUCCUAUUUAUUAUUAUUAUAUUAUUAUUAUUUUAUU
rnacentral:lncRNA from 1 species